GGGGCGGUUGGGUAGCAGGGGGGCUCUGCUCGUCAGUGGGCGCCGUUUGCGUUUGCUUCCUUGGCCUUCACCCUGGGUGGCCAGUUUUUUCUUUGUGCGUCGUCCUCUACCAGAGAAAUGGUCGCUUUACCCUAGUCUAGACACGCUUUAAACAGCAGUUGUAAAAGUCAGUCUUCAAGCCUUGGAAUAAGACUUGCAUAAGAAUAUUAUGCAGCAUGGAUUCUCUACCAGAAGAAUUUUUUGUGAGGGAUCUUCCUCUGGAAGAGCAGGCUACAGAGGAAACCAAGAAAAAGGUAGAAAAAUCAACUGAUCAACUGGACAAACAGGAAAAGGACACACCUACUGAUCUUGUCCCUGUUAACCUACUACUAGAAGUGAAGAAAUUAUUGAAUGCAAUUAACACUCUACCAAAAGGUGUGGUUCCUCACAUCAAGAAGUUCUUACAAGAAGAUUUUUCUUUCCAAACUAUGCAGAGAGAAGUUGCAGCCAAUAGCCAGAACGGGGAGGAAGUUGUCCCUGCUUUGACCUUACGUUUCUUAAUAACACGGCUAGAAGCAGCACUUAGGAACAUCCAAGCUACUAAUUAUACUGCACAUCAGAUUAAUAUUGGUUAUUACCUGACAUUACUGUUUUUGUAUGGAGUAGCCCUCACUGAAAGAGGAAAGAAAGAGGAUUAUAUAGAAGCUGAGAAUAAAUUUCUAGUGAUGAAGAUGGUGAUCCAAGAAAAUGAAAUUUGUGAAAACUUUAUGUCAUUAGUUUAUUUUGGCCGUGGUUUGCUUCGAUGUGCUCAGAAGAGAUAUAAUGGAGGACUGCUAGAGUUUCAUAAAAGCUUACAAGAAAUAGGAGAUACAGAUGAUCAUUGGUUUGAUAUAGAUCCUACAGAAGAUGAAGAUUUACCUACAACUUUUAAAGACCUUCUUAAUAAUUUCAUCAAGACAACUGAGAGUAAUAUAAUGAAGCAGACCAUUUGCAGUUAUCUAGAUUGUGAGCGAUCUUGUGAAGCUGACAUUUUAAAGAACACCAAUUAUAAGGGAUUUUUUCAGUUAAUGUGCAGUAAGAGCUGCUGUGUUUACUUCCAUAAAAUUUGUUGGAAAAAGUUCAAGAAUUUAAAAUAUCCAGGUGAAAAUGAUCAGAGUUUUAGUGGAAAAAAAUGUUUAAAGGAAGGAUGUACGGGUGACAUGGUAAGGAUGCUACAAUGUGAGGUACCUGGAAUUGUCAAAAUUUUGUUUGAAGUUGUGAGAAAGGAUGAAUAUAUAACCAUUGAAAAUUUAGGAGCAAGCUAUAAAAAGUUGAUGUCUCUGAAAAUAACUGACACUGAUAAAAGACCGAAGAUCAGUUUAAAAUUUGGUACAAAAGAUGAAAUGCCUAUCUUCAAACUUGAUUAUAAUUAUUUCUAUCAUCUGCUUCAUAUAAUUAUUGUUUCUGGUACUGACAUUGUUCGGCAAAUAUUUGAUGAGGCUCUGCCACCCCCUCUUUUGAGAAAAGAGCUUCUUAUACACAAGAAUGUACUGGAACCCUACUACAACCAUCUUUGGACCAAUCACCCUUUGGGUGGAGCAUGGCAUCUGCUUUAUCCCCCAAACAAGGAGCUACCACAGUCCAGACAGUUUGACUUGUACCUCCUAUUAGCUCUCAUAAAACAUUUGAAUGUGUUCCCUGCACCCAAAAAAGGCUGGAAUAUGGAACCACCAGCUUCUGAUCUCUCUAAGUCUGCAGACAUCCUGAGGCUGUGCAAAUACAGGGAUAUCCUCCUUAGUGAGAUUUUGAUGAAUGGUCUCACUGAGUCACAAUUCAAUUCAAUUUGGAAAAAAGUUUCAGAUAUUCUUCUGCGCCUUGGGAUGAAGAAAGAAGAUAUUGACAAAGUGAAGGAGAACCCCAUUGAGAAUAUCUCCCUUGAUUACCAUCAACUGUCCAUCUACCUAGGCAUACCAGUACCAGAAAUCAUCCAGAGGAUGUUAUCCUGCUAUCAACAAGGAAUUGCUCUACAGUCAAUAACAGGCAGUCAACGUAUUGAAGUAGAAGAGUUACAAAAUGAAGAAGAAGAACUCAGUCCACCUCUUAUGGAGUACAAUAUAAAUGUGAAAUCAAUCCCUGAAAUACAGUUAGCAGAAAUGAAUAAAGAUGGGGCAUCGAUACCCAGUGAAUCUUCAACAGAAUCUAUUAAAGAUCUCCAGGAAGUUAAGAGUAAACCAAAGAAAAAGAAAAAGACCAAGAAUAAAAAGAAUAAGGAAUCAAAAGAAGAGCAAGUCCCAAGUAUGAUAGGAAAGGAAGAGCAGCUGAAGAAAGAACAAGCAAAUCUGUAUGCAAUCAGUAGAUUUAUGAAAGAUGAUGCAAGCAAUAUUCACGAAGAUUCUACGACUGAAGACAAGUCCUAUAGUCUGGAUGAAUUGCAUAUUCUGGACAUGAUAGAGCAGGGCUCAACCAACAAGGUCACUGCAGAGCGUGGAGGAGCCGAGGAGGCGCUCGCCCGACGACGGCGGCUUUGUGAGCUGCGCUGCCAGUGUGAAGAUUUCAAAAGACAGCUAAAAACCGUGACUUUGUGGUGGCAAGAAAACCAAAUGCAGAUUAAAAAGAAAGAUAAAAUCAUCGAAUCUCUUAACCAGCAAGUGGCUUUUGGAAUCACUAAGAUGUCCAAAUUACAGCGUCAGAGCCAUGCUAAAGAUAAUGAAAUCAAGAACCUUAAAGAGCAACUUUCUAUGAAAAGAUCUCAGUGGGAAAUGGAGAAGCAUAAUCUGGAAAGCACAAUUAAAACAUACUUAAACAAACUGAAUGCAGAAACUAGCAGGGCUUUAACAGCUGAGGUGUAUUUCCUACAGUGUCGUAGAGAUUUUGGCUUGCUGCACCUGGAGCAGACCGAGAAGGAGUGCCUCGGCCAGCUUGCCAGGGCGACUCACAUGGCGGCAAGCAACCUAAAAUCACUUCAGUUAAAGGCUGCCGUAGACAGUUGGAAUGCCAUUGUGACAGAUGUUAGAAACAAGAUUGCAUUCCUCAGGACACAAUACAAUGAGCAAAUCAGCAAGGUGAAGCAAGGCUUUGCCUUGAGCACACUGCCUCCAAUCCAGCUUCCUCCACCGCCUCCCAGUCCUGAGACACUGAUGCAGCAGUUCUUGGGAAGACCCAUUGUGAAAGAAUCUUUCUUUAGACCCAUACUCACUGUUCCUCAAAUGCCUGCCGUUUGUUCUGGAAUCGUCUCUGCAACUGGUCAAUCUAGAUCUCCCUUGAUGAAUAGGAUAGCCUGGACACUGCCAGCUCCUGUGGGAGAAGCUGUGCCCCCCAGUGCAAGUCUAGGACGUGACCCCCUCGUGAUGGAUUGGGAGAAGGUUACGGAGAGGCUGAAAACUGCCUUUCCACAGCAGACCAGAAAGGAGCUUACAGAUUUCGUACGGAAAUUGAAGGAUACUCAUGGGAAAUCCUUAUCUGGACUGACAUUUGAUGAAAUUGUUCACAAGAUUUCCCAAUUUAUUGACCCCAAGAGAUCUCAGAGUCAAGGAAGAUCAGCACCAAAUGGUAAUCGUGUUUCACCGAGCCAUACUGCACCACAGGCUAACGCUGCCCAGCCCUCAGAACCAACCCCAAGGUCCCUUGGUUCACAAGGCUCAGUGACACAGGAAGGAGCCAGUCAUUUGGAUGAUGAGGAAGAAGAGCCUUGUGUGGUCUGUCAUGAGAAUCUCUCUCCAGAUAACCUGUCAGUUUUGCCUUGUGCACAUAAAUUCCAUGCUCAGUGCAUUAGACCUUGGUUGAUGCAACAGCGGACAUGCCCAACCUGCAGACUCCACGUUUUGCUACCAGAAGAAUUUCCAGGUCACCCAAGCCAGCACUUGCCCAAGAUCUGAUUCAGCAGGGUGACUAUGCAAAGGAAGUUCAAUUUUCAGACUCCAGAAUUUAGUUUUCCAUUUAUUUGAGCAGAUAGUGUGAGAGAUAUGAAGUAGUAUGUUCUUCAGUAUUAUUCAAAAUAAGCUAGUUGAUCUCAUCAAAGCUGCAGCCAAAGAGGAGAGGACAAAUCUUCAGGACUGAACUGAACUGAAACAGUUUAAAGAGGAACAGCUUGCCCUAGACCAUGCAGUUAAAUAAUGGCUGAGCCAGUCCUAAUACCUGAGAGAGUCCUGAUAUGCAAUUGAAAAUUUAGCAAAACUCCUCUACAUUUAUAAAAUGCUCCUGGAAUACCUUAAUCCCUUAUCACAUAGCCUCUCAGGCUAGAAGAUACCCUUGGAGAAUUUAUGAGACACCAGGCUUCCACUGAUGCAUAUACCCUCUUGAUUGACAGAAGCAAAGAAGCAAAACUAUCUACACACAGAUGGCUAAUAGGAUUUAUGAAGUAUAGUUUUUUAAUCACUGUAAACAUCUGGUAGACCUAGCCGGGUGAGAAGACCUCAAAUAUGAGCAGAUAAGUCUAUUGGUGCAGCUAUAUACUGGAAUACCUGCAUUCUGAUUAUGAAGUAAACGUGCUUCCUUGGGAGCACUUCCCCAGCCUCCGGUCAAAGUUUAAUUUCCUGGUCCAUCCCCUCCCUGCACUCACCUGAUCUGUGCUUCUUUUGUGCUUGUAAGCAAAGCUGUCUCUGUCUGGUCGCCUCUGUAAUGUAAUGUAAGUUUGUGUAUCGUUCUAAAGAAAUGUUUCUUAAAUUGAAAUGGAAAAAAACAAAGUCCUAGGAUUUUGGUUAACAUGGAAAGAUUCAUACAGUGGCUAAUUGAAAAGGCAAUCAGGUUAGAAAAUUGUGUAAGACUAUGAUCCAGUUUUACUAAAAAAUUUCUUUUGAAUGCAUAGCAAAACACUGGAAAGAUAUAUUCUGAACUGUAGCUGUGGUUUUCUGAGUGGUAGAUUACUGAUGCUUUUCAUUUUCACUAGUUUUGCUUGACUGUAGUUUUUUUAAUGAUUAAUGUGUUUUACUUAGGUGGAAAGAAAAUAUCAAUUGUUGUUGUUUAGUCGCUAAGUUGUGUCCUUUGCAACCCCAUGGACUGAAGCAUGCCAGGCUUCCCUGUCCUUCACUACUCGCGGAGUUGGCUCAAAUUCAUGUCCAUUGAGUCGAUAGUGCUAUCUAAACAUUUCAUCCUCUGCUUCUGCCUUUUCCUUUUGCUUUCAAUCUUUCCCAAUAUCAGGGUCUUUUCCAAUGAGUUGACUCUUCACAUCAGGUGGUCAAAAUGUUGAAGCUUCAGCCUCAGUCCUUCCAAUGAAUAUUCAGAGUUGAUUUCCUUUAGCACGGACUGGUUUGUUCUCUUUGCUGUCCAAGGGACUGGCAAGAGUCGUCCCCAGCACCACAGCUGGAAAGCAUCAAUUCUUCUCCACUCACCCUUCUUUAUGGUCCAACUCUCACAUCUGUAUAUGACUACUGGAAAAGCCAUAGCUUUCCUUCCAAGGAGCAAGUGUCUUUUAAUUUCAUGGCUGCAGUCACCACCUGCAGUGAUUUUGGAGGACCAGGACUGCUCAGAUGUGAAGAAUGAGCUAGGAUGCAGUCCUUAUCUGACAACUGUACCUGUGAGCUGCAUAGAAAGAAGUGGGCUCAAGCGCAGGUCACGUUACCAGGAGACCAGAAGGAGCCGGGAGAAAGGAAAGGAGGGAACAGAAUCGAAGAAGGAAGAGUCAGCAGUGAGGGUAGAAUCCAGUUCUUUGAAAACUUAGAUACAGAUUCAACCCCUCAUAAUGACUCUUAGUGACUAUGGAGCUAAUACUCCUGUCUAUAAUAAUUUGCCUUCAGAUUAUUGAAGAAGUUCAGCUGGAGGCAGAAAGAUGGUGGACCUGUGACCUAUCAGCCUCAUUAAAUAUCACUGGAAUCCAUUUUUAUCAGAAGAUUACAGAUUUCUAGAAUGUGAUUCCUGUAUCACAUAAAAACUUGCGGUUUCUUAACUUUCUUAAUAAAAAUUCUAAGACAGAGGGAAGUAAGUUUCAAGUACCGUGCUUUUCCCUAACAUUCAGGUGUGUGUUGUGUACUCCUCACAUUGACUAGAGAGGGCUGUUUGAUAGUGAUUCUGAGCAGAUAAGAAAAAACAGAAAGGAAAAUGGUUAUUUCUUGGUCACUGAGACAAAUGAUGGUUUUCUGUCAUUUUUCUGCCAAUAACCCCAUUGCAGAAAGAAGGGAAAAAAGUUCAAAAAGUGGCAGAAGCUCUCCUUUCCUUCGAAACAAUCAUCACA